GCCCCUGUGGCGGAACUGGUAGACGCGACAGACUCAAAAUCUGUUUCUGGCAACAGAGUGCCCGUUCGAGUCGGGCCAGGGGCACCA
rnacentral:tRNA from 1 species